GAGUGUGAAAGAUUGUUUGUCUCUCUGUGUUGGCCUUGCGACAGGCUGGCGACCUGUUCAGGGUGUACCCUGCCUCUCGCCCUAUGACAGCUUGGGUAGGCCCUGGUCUGCCCGCAACCCUGAAUAGGAUGAGCGGAAGCGGAUGGAUGGAUUAUUAUUAUUAUCUUUGGCUCCACUUUGGCUUUAAAGUUGUGUUCUUUCUUCUAUGUGUGUGUGUUCUAGUGGAAUUUCAGGAAGAGCAAAAUAAAAAAAUAUAUAUUACUACAAAGGAGUUGGGCAUUUCUACAGUGGGGCUGGCUGCUCUCGCCAUCAAAAAGAAAAACAUUCAUGCUGGGACCAAUAAUCCCACAAUUGUUUAUAUUUACAGCACAAAUUGAUUACGGAUAUGGAACCCAUGCAGAGAGGAUUAACAGGCAGGCAGAAAAAUCUUUUUAAAAAAGAACCCCAAAAAUAAGGGCAACUGAAAAAAUAAAAAUUUAUUUCCUUGGGCCUCUGGUUCCCCACUCCUUCUUUGGAGCCCUGCUGCAGGAUGCCUCCUACGGCGAGUUUGUGAAAGAGACCAAAA